CAGUCGCCGCGGGAAUACAGAGGGUGCGAGCGUUAAUCGGAUUUACUGGGCGUAAAGCGUGCGUAGGCGGCUAAUUGAGUCGGAUGUGAAAUCCCCGAGCUUAACUUGGGAAUUGCAUUCGAUACUGGUUAGCUAGAGUGUGGGAGAGGAUGGUAGAAUUCCAGGUGUAGCGGUGAAAUGCGUAGAGAUCUGGAGGAAUACCGAUGGCGAAGGCAGCCAUCUGGCCUAACACUGACGCUGAGGUACGAAAGCAUGGGGAGCAAACAGGAUUAGAUACCCCAGUAGUCCCUGUCUCUUAUAU
rnacentral:rRNA from 1 species